rnacentral:tRNA from 1 species
GGCCGCUUGCUGGAACCGGUAGACAGACCCGACUUAAAAUCGGAGGCCUUCGGGCGUGGGGGUUCAAGUCCCCCAGCGGCCACCA